AGAUAAGUAAAUAAGGGCAGGCGGUGGAUGCCUUGGCUCUCGGAGGCGAAGAAGGACGUGAUAAGCUGCGAAAAGCUGGGGUUAGGUGCAAAUAACUGAUUGAACCUCAGAUAUCCGAAUGGGGCAACCUGUCAGGCGUUAUUGUCUGACAUCUCGAAAGGGAAGCAAACCCGGGGAACUGAAACAUCUAAGUACCUGGAGGAAGAGAAAACAAUAGUGAUUACGUAAGUAGUGGCGAGCGAAAGCGUAAGAGCCCAAACUGGUUGUGUUUAGGCAUGACCAGGGUUAUAGGACUACAUAAUGGGGCAAGAUGUCGUUAAAGUAGAAAUAUCUGGAAAGAUAUAUCAUAGAAGGUGAUAAUCCUGUAUACGACUUAGCGAUGAAGCUUAGUAGUAUCCUGAGUAACACGGGACACGAGAAAUCUUGUGUGAAUUGGCGGGGACCAUCCCGUAAGGCUAAAUACUCCCGAGAGACCGAUAGUGGACUAGUACCGCGAGGGAAAGGUGAAAAGAACCUUGAAUAAAGGAGUGAAAUAGAUUCUGAAACCGUCUGCCUACAAGCGGUCGGAGCAUAAUUAUGUUAUGUGACGGCGUGCCUUUUGCAUAAUGAACCUACGAGUUACUUUUGUUGGCAAGGUUAAGUAUUUAAGAUAUGUAGCCGAAGCGAAAGCGAGUCUGAAUAAGGGCGUAUUAGUCAGCAGGAGUAGACGCGAAACCGAGUGAUCUACCCUUGAGCAGAUUGAAGGUUAGGUAAUACUAAUUGGAGGAUCGAACCGGUGAAUGUUGAAAAAUUUUCGGAUGACUUAAGGGUAGGGGUGAAAGGCUAAUCAAACUCGGAGAUAGCUCGUACUCCCCGAAAUGCAUUUAGGUGCAGCCUUGAUUAAUUGUUUAUAUGAGGUAGAGCGACUGAUUAGAUGCGAGGGUUUCAUCGCCUAUCAAGUCUAGAUAAACUCCGAAUGCGUAUAAAUAUAGAUCAGGAGUGAGGGCAUGGGUGCUAAGGUCCAUGUCCGAGAGGAGAAGAAUCCAGACCAUCGACUAAGGUCCCUAAAUAUAUGCUUAGUUGUAUUUAACGAAGUCUAAUUACAUAGACAGCUAGGAUGUUGGCUUGGAAGCAGCCAUUCAUUUAAAGAGUGCGUAACAGCUCACUAGUUGAGUGAUUGGGCGUGGAUAAUAAUCGGGCAUAAGUAUAUUACCGAAGUUGUGGAAUUGCAGUUUUAACUGUAAUUGGUAGGGGAGCAUUCCAAUUGCGUAGAAGGUGUUGGGUGACUGGUGCUGGAGCGAUUGGAAAAGCAAAUGUAGGUAUAAGUAACGAUAAUGCAGGUGAGAAACCUGCACGCCGAAAGAUUAAGGUUUCCUGAUCAACGUUAAUCGGAUCAGGGUAAGUCGGGACCUAAGGGUAAGCCGAAAGGUGAAACCGAUGGAUGAACCGGUUAAUAUUCCGGUACUGCUUAAAUGAGGGAAGCAGAGACGAAGGAGUGAAACUUCUGCCAGCUGACGGAAUAGCUGGUUGAAGGGUGUAGAUGUGGAUUACAGUAGGCAAAUCCGCUGUAAGAGUCGAACCUGAUAGUACCGUGAGUGCAUGCACAAACGGAUAAGAAGGUAAUCAUACUUCCAAGAAAAACUGCUACUGUUAAUUGUUUAGGUACUCGUACUGUAAACCGACACAGGUGAUUGAGUAGAAUAUACUAAGGCGCUCGAGUGAUUCAUGGUUAAGGAAUUAGGCAAAAUGGUCCUGUAACUUCGGGAGAAAGGACGCCUAUUGAAAAGUAGGUUGCAGAGAAUAGGAGAAGGCGACUGUUUAGCAAAAACACAUGGCUGUGCGAAAUUGAAAGAUGAAGUAUACAGCCUGACACCUGCCCGGUGCCGGAAGGUUAAAAGGAGAUGUUAUCGGAAGAGAAGCAUUGAAUUGAAGCCCCGGUAAACGGCGGCCGUAACUAUAACGGUCCUAAGGUAGCGAAAUUCCUUGUCGGGUAAGUUCCGACCUGCACGAAUGGUGUAACGAUCUUCUCACUGUCUCAACCAUGAGCUCGGUGAAAUUGUAGUAUCGGUGAAGAUGCCGAUUACCCGCAACGGGACGAAAAGACCCCGUGAACCUUUACUAUAGCUUUACAUUGGAUUUGUAUAAUUGAUGUGUAGGAUAGGCCGGAGACUGUGAAGCAGGCACGCUAGUGUCAGUGGAGUCGACGUUGAAAUACGGCCCUUGGAUUGUUUGAAUCCUAACUUGCAAUAGCAAGGACAUUGUAUGGUGGGUAGUUUGACUGGGGUGGUCGCCUCCAAAAGUGUAACGGAGGCUUCUAAAGGUGUGCUCAGAACGAUUGGUAACCGUUCGUAGAGUGUAAUGGCAUAAGCACGCUUGACUGAGAGACAGACAGGUCGAUCAGGUAGGAAACUAGAGCAUAGUGAUCCGGUGGUUCCGCAUGGAAGGGCCAUCGCUCAAAGGAUAAAAGGUACUCCGGGGAUAACAGGCUGAUCAUUCCCAAGAGCUCAUAUCGACGGAAUGGUUUGGCACCUCGAUGUCGGCUCGUCACAUCCUGGGGCUGGAGAAGGUCCCAAGGGUUGGGCUGUUCGCCCAUUAAAGUGGCACGCGAGCUGGGUUCAGAACGUCGUGAGACAGUUCGGUCUCUAUCUGUUGUGGGCGUGGGAAAUUUGAGGAGAGCUGACACUAGUACGAGAGGACCGUGUCGGACAGACCGCUGGUAUACCAGUUGUUUCGCCAGAAGCAUCGCUGGGUAGCUAUGUCUGGAUAUAAGAUAAGUGCUGAAAGCAUCUAAGUACGAAGCCAUCUCCAAGAUUAGAUUUCCAUUAGGGUCGUCGGAGACUACGACGUAGAUAGGCUGUAGGUGUAAAGAUGGUAACAUCAUAGCCGAGCAGUACUAAUUACCCGAAUGCUUAUCUGA
rfam:Candidatus Azobacteroides pseudotrichonymphae genomovar. CFP2 DNA, complete genome.